AGGGUGCACUGGGGUCACAUUUUGAAGCUUUCUCCAUAGCCAUGAAGGCUAGAAACUUACUUUUUCUUUCAGAAUGAAGGCCGAAAUCAUCACAUCUCCACAUGACUCCAGGAGCUGGGACUUUAAGGAAAACCAUAAUUAUCAUGAGACACGUGACAAAAUCAUGAGCGUUGCCAGCGCUGCAUUACAGGAUUUUCUAAUUGC